rnacentral:rRNA from 1 species
UGGGGAAUAUUGCACAAUGGGCGAAAGCCUGAUGCAGCAACGCCGCGUGAGUGAUGAAGGUCUUCGGAUUGUAAAGCUCUGUCUUUUGGGACGAUAAUGACGGUACCAAAGGAGGAAGCCACGGCUAACUACGUGCCAGCAGCCGCGGUAAUACGUAGGUGGCGAGCGUUGUCCGGAUUUACUGGGCGUAAAGGGUGCGUAGGCGGAUGUUUAAGUGAGAUGUGAAAUACCCGGGCUUAACUUGGGUGCUGCAUUUCAAACUGGAUAUCUAGAGUGCAGGAGAGGAGAAUGGAAUUCCUAGUGUAGCGGUGAAAUGCGUAGAGAUUAGGAAGAACACCAGUGGCGAAGGCGAUUCUCUGGACUGUAACUGACGCUGAGGCACGAAAGCGUGGGUAGCAAACAGGAUUAGAUACCCUGGUAGUCCACGCCGUAAACGAUGAGUACUAGGUGUAGGAGGUNUCGACCCCUUCUGUGCCGCAGUAAACACAU